CCUGUCCCAGAGUAUCUACAAACAUUGAGCUGAAUGCUAAGCCUGGUUUGAAGAGUUAGGCGAAGGUUUCUGGUCCAGAAUGGAUAACUGUGAUUUAGAAAAGCUUUCAGUGGAUGGUGUAAAACUCUGUCCUCCGUUCCAGCCCGAAAUAACCCUCUAUACAGCGACUGUUCCGAGCAACAUCAGCACAGUGACACUCGACCUGCUAACGAGCGACUGCGGGGCUUCCUAUAGGAUAGGGUCGCCACAGUGGAUCAUCUGCCUCCAUCAUGCCCUAUCCACUGCCUCCUCUACUUUCACACCAAUGAGAUCAUGAUUAUUGAACAUGAAAAAUCAUUGGCUUUGGACAUCAUGCAUUUAUUGAACUUAAAAAAAAAAAAAAAAAACUU